ACUUAAAUUGAAGAGUUUGAUCAUGGCUCAGAUUGAACGCUGGCGGCAGGCCUAACACAUGCAAGUCGAACGGUAGCACAGAGAGCUUGCUCUCGGGUGACGAGUGGCGGACGGGUGAGUAAUGUCUGGGAAACUGCCUGAUGGAGGGGGAUAACUACUGGAAACGGUGGCUAAUACCGCAUAACGUCGCAAGACCAAAGAGGGGGACCUUCGGGCCUCUUGCCAUCAGAUGUGCCCAGAUGGGAUUAGCUGGUUGGUGAGGUAACGGCUCACCAAGGCGACGAUCCCUAGCUGGUCUGAGAGGAUGACCAGCCACACUGGAACUGAGACACGGUCCAGACUCCUACGGGAGGCAGCAGUGGGGAAUAUUGCACAAUGGGCGCAAGCCUGAUGCAGCCAUGCCGCGUGUAUGAAGAAGGCCUUCGGGUUGUAAAGUACUUUCAGCGGGGAGGAAGGUGUUGUGGUUAAUAACCGCAGCAAUUGACGUUACCCGCAGAAGAAGCACCGGCUAACUCCGUGCCAGCAGCCGCGGUAAUACGGA
rnacentral:rRNA from 1 species